UGGUGGAGUGAUUUGUCUGGUUAAUUCCGUUAACGAACGAGACCUUGUCCUACUAAAUAGUUAUUUUAAUUUUUAAUUGGCAAUAUAUUUCUUAGAGGGACUAUCGGUUGGUGUACCCCGUGGAAGUUCAAGGCAAUAACA
rnacentral:rRNA from 1 species